CCGGCGGCAUAGGAUGGGCCUGCGGCGUAUCAGGUUGUAGGGGGUGUAACGUACCCUCUAGCCCUCUACGCGUACGGGUGUUGGGAGACAUAGCCCGGAGAUGGAUUCUGAGACACGAAUCCAGACCCUACGGGGUGCAGCAGGCGCGAAAACUUGGCAAUGCGAGAAAUCGUGACCAGGGAACUCCAAGUGCAUCGGGUAAGACCGGUGCUUUUCUUGACUCUAAAUAGGUCUUGGAAUAAGGGGUGGGUAAGGACGGUGCCAGCCGCCGCGGUAAUACCGGCGCCUCAAGUGGUAGUCGCUUUUAUUGGGCCUAAAACGUCCGUAGCCGGUCUGAUACAUUCGUGGGUAAAUCAACCAGCUUAACUGGUUGAAUUCUGCGAGGACGGUCAGACUUGGGACCGGGAGAGGUGUGGGGUACGCUCAGGGUAGGGGUAAAAUCCUGUCAUCCUGAGCGGACCACCUGUUGCGAAGGCGCCACACUAGAACGGAUCCGACGGUCAGGGACGAAGCCUAGGGGCACGAACCGGAUUAGAUACCCGGGUAGUCCUAGGUGUAAACGCUGUGGACUUGAUGUUGGGGGUGCUCCGAGCACUCUCAGUGUCGAAGCGAAGGUGAUAAGUCCACUGCCUGGGAAGUACGGUCGCAAGGCUGAAACUUAAAGGAAUUGGCGGGGGAGCACCGCAACCUGAGGAUUGUGCGGUUUAAUUGGACUCAACGCCGGAA
rnacentral:rRNA from 1 species